GCCAGAGGUCACCGCUAUUGGGAUUCGAUUAAGCCAUGCGAGUCGAGAGGGUUCGGCCCUCGGCAGACGGCUCAGUAACACGUGGAUAAUCUGCCCUUAGGUGGAGGAUAACCUCGGGAAACUGAGAAUAAUACUCCAUAGACCUAGGAGGCUGGAAUGCACCUAGAUUGAAAGUUCCGACGCCUAAGGAUGAGUCUGCGGACUAUCAGGUUGUAGUCAGGGUAACGGCCUGACUAGCCUACGACGGAUACGGGUUGUGAGAGCAAUAACCCGGAGACGAUAUCUGAGACACGAUAUCGGGCCCUACGGGGCGCAGCAGGCGCGAAAACUUCACACUGUGCGAAAGCGCGAUGAGGGAAUCCCAAGUGCUUGCACGUAAGUGUAAGCUGUUUCUUUGUUUAAAACGCAAGGAGAGGAAGGGCUGGGUAAGACGGGUGCCAGCCGCCGCGGUAAUACCUGCAGCUCAAGUGGUGACCGCUAUUAUUGGGCCUAAAACGUUCGUAGCCGGCUGAGUAAAUGCUUGGGUAAAUCGUGUAGCUUAACUAUACGAAUUCCGGGUAGACUGCUUAGCUUGAGACCGGGAGAAGCUAGAGGUACUCCUGGGGUAGAGGUGAAAUUCUGUAAUCCUGGGGGGACCACCAGUGGCGAAGGCGUCUAGCUAGAACGGGUCUGACGGUGAGGAACGAAACCCUGGGGCGCAAACCGGAUUAGAUACCCGGGUAGUCCAGGGCGCAAACGCUGCUUGCUUGAUGUUAGUUGGGCUCCGAGCNNGACUAGUGUCGGAGAGAAGUUGUUAACCAAGCUGCCUGGGAAGUACGAUCGCAAGAUU
rnacentral:rRNA from 1 species